rnacentral:rRNA from 1 species
UUCCGGUUGAUCCUGCCAGACCCUACUGCUAUCGGGAUGGGACUAAGACAUGCUAGUCGUGCGCUUCUAAGCCAUGGUGGAGGCGCGGCGCACAGCUCAGUAACACGUGGUUAACCUGCCCUUGGGACGGAAACACCCCCGGGAAACUGGGGCUAAUUUUCCGAUAGGUGAAGACUCCUGGAAUGGAUCUUCGCCUAAAGGGCGCUUAGGCCAUGCUUCUAGGCGCUGCCCAAGGAUGGGACCGCGGCCGAUCAGGUUGUUGGUGAGGUAAUGGCUCACCAAGCCUUUAACCGGUUCGGGCCGUGGGAGCGGGAGCCCGGAGAUGGGCACUGAGACAAGGGCCCAGGUCCUACGGGGCGCAGCAGUCGCGAAAACUCCGCAAUACGCGAAGGCGUGACGGGGCUAUCCCGAGUGCCGUCCGCUGAGGAUGGCUUUUCCCCAGUGUAGAUAGCUGGGCCAAUAAGGAGAGGGCAAGUCUGGUGUCUGCCGCCGCGAAAAAACAAGCUCUCCGAGUGGUGGGGACGUUUAUUGGGCCUGAAGCAUCCGUAGCCAGCUGAGCAAGUCCCCAGUUAAAUCCAGCGAUUUAAUCGUUGGACUGCUGGGGAUACUGUCCGGCUUGGGGGUGGGAGAGGCCGACGGUAUUCCCGGGGUAGGGGUGAAAUCCUAUAAUCCCGGGAGGACCACCGGCGGCGAAGGCUGUUGGCUAAAACAUGCCCGACGGUGAGGGAUGAAAGCUGGGGGAGCGAACCGGAUUAGAUACCCGGGUAGUCCCAGCUGUAAACGAUGCAGGCUAGGUGUUAGGGCGGCCACGUGCCGCUCUAGUGCCGCAGGGAAGCUGUUAAGCCUGCCGCCUGGGGAGUACGGCCGCAAGGCUGAAACUUAAAGGAAUUGGCGGGGGAGCAC